GAGAAACAUGGGCACCGGGAGCUGGGAGCAGAUGAAAUCGAAGAGCUACGCGAGGCCUUCUUGGAGUUCGACAGGGACAAGGACGGGCUGAUCGGCUGCAAGGACCUGGCUCCCAGCCUCUCUGCUCUAACCACCAGCCCCCACU